AGGGGUAUAGCUCAGUGGUAGAGCACAUGGUUAGCAGGCACGAGGCCCUGGGUUCAAUCCCCAGUACCUCCA
rfam:Camelus ferus unplaced genomic scaffold scaffold2276, whole genome shotgun sequence.